UACGGGGGGGGGCAAGCGUUGUUCGGACUUACUGGGCGUAAAGGGCUCGUAGGCGGCCAACUAAGUCAGCCGUGAAAUCCCUCGGCUUAACCGGGGAACUGCGUCUGAUACUGGAUGGCUUGAGGUUGGGAGAGGGAUGCGGAAUUCCAGGUGUAGCGGUGAAAUGCGUAGAUAUCUGGAGGAACACCGGUGGCGAAGGCGGCAUCCUGGACCAAUUCUGACGCUGAGGAGCGAAAGCCAGGGGAGCAAACGGG
rnacentral:rRNA from 1 species